GUAAAAAGUAGAAUAAUAGAUUUGAAAUAUUUAUUAUAUAGAUUUAAAGAGAUAAUCAUGGAGUAUAAUAAUUAAAUUUAAUAAAUUUAAUAUAACUAUUAAUAGAAUUAGGUUACUAAUAAAUUAAUAACAAUUAAUUUUAAAACCUAAAGGUAAACCUUUAUAUUAAUAAUGUUAUUUUUUAUUAUAUUUAUAAUAAGAAUAAUUAUUAAUAAUAAUAAACUAAGUGAACUGAAACAUCUAAGUAACUUAAGGAUAAGAAAUCAACAGAGAUAUUAUGAGUAUUGGUGAGAGAAAAUAAUAAAGGUCUAAUAAGUAUUAUGUGAAAAAAAUGUAAGAAAAUAGGAUAACAAAUUCUAAGACUAAAUACUAUUAAUAAGUAUAGUAAGUACCGUAAGGGAAAGUAUGAAAAUGAUUAUUUUAUAAGCAAUCAUGAAUAUAUUAUAUUAUAUUAAUGAUGUACCUUUUGUAUAAUGGGUCAGCAAGUAAUUAAUAUUAGUAAAACAAUAAGUUAUAAAUAAAUAGAAUAAUAUAUAUAUAUAAAAAAAUAUAUUAAAAUAUUUAAUUAAUAUUAAUUGACCCGAAAGCAAACGAUCUAACUAUGAUAAGAUGGAUAAACGAUCGAACAGGUUGAUGUUGCAAUAUCAUCUGAUUAAUUGUGGUUAGUAGUGAAAGACAAAUCUGGUUUGCAGAUAGCUGGUUUUCUAUGAAAUAUAUGUAAGUAUAGCCUUUAUAAAUAAUAAUUAUUAUAUAAUAUUAUAUUAAUAUUAUAUAAAGAAUGGUACAGCAAUUAAUAUAUAUUAGGGAACUAUUAAAGUUUUAUUAAUAAUAUUAAAUCUCGAAAUAUUUAAUUAUAUAUAAUAAAGAGUCAGAUUAUGUGCGAUAAGGUAAAUAAUCUAAAGGGAAACAGCCCAGAUUAAGAUAUAAAGUUCCUAAUAAAUAAUAAGUGAAAUAAAUAUUAAAAUAUUAUAAUAUAAUCAGUUAAUGGGUUUGACAAUAACCAUUUUUUAAUGAACAUGUAACAAUGCACUGAUUUAUAAUAAAUAAAAAAAAAUAAUAUUUAAAAUCAAAUAUAUAUAUAUUUGUUAAUAGAUAAUAUACGGAUCUUAAUAAUAAGAAUUAUUUAAUUCCUAAUAUGGAAUAUUAUAUUUUUAUAAUAAAAAUAUAAAUACUGAAUAUCUAAAUAUUAUUAUUACUUUUUUUUUAAUAAUAAUAAUAUGGUAAUAGAACAUUUAAUGAUAAUAUAUAUUAGUUAUUAAUUAAUAUAUGUAUUAAUUAAAUAGAGAAUGCUGACAUGAGUAACGAAAAAAAAGGUAUAAACCUUUUCACCUAAAACAUAAGGUUUAACUAUAAAAGUACGGCCCCUAAUUAAAUUAAUAAGAAUAUAAAUAUAUUUAAGAUGGGAUAAUCUAUAUUAAUAAAAAUUUAUCUUAAAAUAUAUAUAUUAUUAAUAAUUAUAUUAAUAAUAUAUAUAAUUAUAUUAUAUAUUUUUUUUAUAUAAUAUAAACUAAUAAAGAUCAGGAAAUAAUUAAUGUAUACCGUAAUGUAGACCGACUCAGGUAUGUAAGUAGAGAAUAUGAAGGUGAAUUAGAUAAUUAAAGGGAAGGAACUCGGCAAAGAUAGCUCAUAAGUUAGUCAAUAAAGAGUAAUAAGAACAAAGUUGUACAACUGUUUACUAAAAACACCGCACUUUGCAGAAACGAUAAGUUUAAGUAUAAGGUGUGAACUCUGCUCCAUGCUUAAUAUAUAAAUAAAAUUAUUUAACGAUAAUUUUAUUAAAUUUAGGUAAAUAGCAGCCUUAUUAUGAGGGUUAUAAUGUAGCGAAAUUCCUUGGCCUAUAAUUGAGGUCCCGCAUGAAUGACGUAAUGAUACAACAACUGUCUCCCCUUUAAGCUAAGUGAAAUUGAAAUCGUAGUGAAGAUGCUAUGUACCUUCAGCAAGACGGAAAGACCCUAUGCAGCUUUACUGUAAUUAGAUAGAUCGAAUUAUUGUUUAUUAUAUUCAGCAUAUUAAGUAAUCCUAUUAUUAGGUAAUCGUUUAGAUAUUAAUGAGAUACUUAUUAUAAUAUAAUGAUAAUUCUAAUCUUAUAAAUAAUUAUUAUUAUUAUUAUUAAUAAUAAUAAUAUGCUUUCAAGCAUAGUGAUAAAACAUAUUUAUAUGAUAAUCACUUUACUUAAUAGAUAUAAUUCUUAAGUAAUAUAUAAUAUAUAUUUUAUAUAUAUUAUAUAUAAUAUAAGAGACAAUCUCUAAUUGGUAGUUUUGAUGGGGCGUCAUUAUCAGCAAAAGUAUCUGAAUAAGUCCAUAAAUAAAUAUAUAAAAUUAUUGAAUAAAAAAAUAAUAUAUAUUAUAUAUAUUAAUUAUAAAUUGAAAUAUGUUUAUAUAAAUUUAUAUUUAUUGAAUAUAUUUUAGUAAUAGAUAAAAAUAUGUACAGUAAAAUUGUAAGGAAAACAAUAAUAACUUUCUCCUCUCUCGGUGGGGGUUCACACCUAUUUUUAAUAGGUGUUCACCCCUCUUCGGGGUUCCGGUUCCCUUUCGGGUCCCGGAACUUAAAUAAAAAUGGAAAGAAUUAAAUUAAUAUAAUGGUAUAACUGUGCGAUAAUUGUAACACAAACGAGUGAAACAAGUACGUAAGUAUGGCAUAAUGAACAAAUAACACUGAUUGUAAAGGUUAUUGAUAACGAAUAAAAGUUACGCUAGGGAUAACAGGGUAAUAUAGCGAAAGAGUAGAUAUUGUAAGCUAUGUUUGCCACCUCGAUGUCGACUCAACAUUUCCUCUUGGUUGUAAAAGCUAAGAAGGGUUUGACUGUUCGUCAAUUAAAAUGUUACGUGAGUUGGGUUAAAUACGAUGUGAAUCAGUAUGGUUCCUAUCUGCUGAAGGAAAUAUUAUCAAAUUAAAUCUCAUUAUUAGUACGCAAGGACCAUAAUGAAUCAACCCAUGGUGUAUCUAUUGAUAAUAAUAUAAUAUAUUUAAUAAAAAUAAUACUUUAUUAAUAUAUUAUCUAUAUUAGUUUAUAUUUUAAUUAUAUAUUAUCAUAGUAGAUAAGCUAAGUUGAUAAUAAAUAAAUAUUGAAUACAUAUUAAAUAUGAAGUUGUUUUAAUAAGAUAAUUAAUCUGAUAAUUUUAUACUAAAAUUAAUAAUUAUAGGUUUUAUAUAUUAUUUAUAAAUAAAUAUAUUAUAAUAAUAAUAAUUAUUAUUAUUAAUAAAAAAUAUUAAUUAUAAUAUUAAUAAAAUACUAAUUUAUCAGUUAUCUAUAUAAUAUCUAAUCUAUUAUUCUAUAUACU
rnacentral:rRNA from 1 species